rnacentral:rRNA from 1 species
AUUGAACGCUGGCGGCAGGCCUAACACAUGCAAGUCGAGCGGCAGCGGGAAAGUAGCUUGCUACUUUUGCCGGCGAGCGGCGGACGGGUGAGUAAUGCCUGGGAAAUUGCCCAGUCGAGGGGGAUAACAGUUGGAAACGACUGCUAAUACCGCAUACGCCCUACGGGGGAAAGCAGGGGACCUUCGGGCCUUGCGCGAUUGGAUAUGCCCAGGUGGGAUUAGCUAGUUGGUGAGGUAAUGGCUCACCAAGGCGACGAUCCCUAGCUGGUCUGAGAGGAUGAUCAGCCACACUGGAACUGAGACACGGUCCAGACUCCUACGGGAGGCAGCAGUGGGGAAUAUUGCACAAUGGGGGAAACCCUGAUGCAGCCAUGCCGCGUGUGUGAAGAAGGCCUUCGGGUUGUAAAGCACCUUCAGCGAGGAGGAAAGGUUGAUGCCUAAUACGUAUCAACUGUGACGUUACUCGCAGAAGAAGCACCGGCUAACUCCGUGCCAGCAGCCGCCGUAAAAC